UACGUAGGGGGCAAGCGUUGUCCGGAAUCAUUGGCGUAAAGCGCGUGUAGGCGGCCAGAAAAGUCCGCUGUGAAAACUCGAGGCUCAACUUCGAGCUGUCGGUGGAAACUUUCUGGCUAGAGUCCGGAAGAGGAGAAUGGAAUUCCUGGUGUAGCGGUGGAAAUGCGCAGAUAUCAGGAAGAACACCCGUGGCGAAGGCGGUUCUCUGGGACGGUACUGACGCUGAGGAGCGAAAGCGUGGGGAGCGAACAGG
rnacentral:rRNA from 1 species